CUAAGCCUGUGAUGACACAUGUUAUCCCUGUCUGAACUCUAGUGUGGAGAUUUGGUAACCUGAGGCUUUG